ACCGGCGCACGGGUGCGUAACGCGUAUGCAACCUGCCCCCAUCAGGGGAAUAGCCCGCCGAAAGGCGGAUUAAUGCCCCAUAGGCCCAGGGCGCUGCAUGGUGCUUUGGGUAAAGCUCCGGCGGAUGGGGAUGGGCAUGCGUGCCAUUAGCUAGUUGGGGCGGUAACGGCGCACCAAGGCGACGAUGGCUAGGGGGUCUGAGAGGAUGGUCCCCCACACUGGUACUGAGACACGGACCAGACUCCUACGGGAGGCAGCAGUGAGGAAUAUUGGUCAAUGGGCGGAAGCCUGAACCAGCCAUGCCGCGUGCAGGAUGACGGCCCUACGGGUUGUAAACUGCUUUUCCCCGGGAAGAAUAAGCCCCUCGUGAGGGGUGAUGCCGGUACCGGGGGAAUAAGGAUCGGCUAACUCCGUGCCAGCAGCCGCGGUAAUACGGAGGAUCCGAGCGUUAUCCGGAUUUACUGGGUUUAAAGGGUGCGUAGGCGGGCGCCUAAGUCAGCGGUGAAAUGCAGCGGCUCAACCGUUGAACUGCCGUUGAAACUGGGCGCCUUGGAUGCGGUCGAGGCCGGCGGAAUGCGUGGUGUAGCGGUGAAAUGCUUAGAUAUCACGCAGAACGCCAAUUGCGAAGGCAGCUGGCCGGGCCGCAAUCGACGCUGAGGCACGAAAGC
rnacentral:rRNA from 1 species